rnacentral:rRNA from 1 species
CUUGNUGCCAGCAGCCGCGGUAAUACCGGUGGCUCGAGUGGUGGCCGCUAUUAUUGGGUCUAAAGGGUCCGUAGCCCGGCUGAUAAGUUACCUGGGAAAUCCGGUGGCCUAACCAUCGGGCGGCCAGGUAAUACUAUCAGGCUCGGGACUAGGAGAGACCAGAGGUACUCAUGAGGUAGGAGUGAAAUCCUGUAAUCUUAUGAGGACCACCAGUGGUGAAGACGUCUGGUUAGAAUAGGUCCGACGGUGAGGGACGAAGGCUGGGGGCGCAAACCGGAUUAGAUACCCGGGUAGUCCCAGCAGUAAACGAUGCCAGCUAUGUGUUGCUGGAACCAUGGGUUCCAGCAGUGCCGAAGGGAAGCCGUGAAGCUGGCCACCUGGGAAGUACGGUCGCAAGGCUGAAACUUAAAGGAAUUGGCGGGGGAGUACCACAACCGGUGGAGCCUGCGGUUUAAUUGGAUACAACGCCGGGAAUCUUACCGGAGGGGACAGCAGGUAUGAAGGCCAGGCUAAGGACCUUGCCAGAUCAGCUGAGAGGAGGUGCAUGGCCGUCGCCAGUUCGUACCGUGAGGCAUCCUGUU